AUAAGGGUGAGGUCGGCAGUUCAAAUCUGCCCAGACCUACCAAUAUGCGGGGCCAUAGCUCAGCUGGGAGAGCGCCUGCCUUGCACGCAGGAGGUCAGCGGUUCGAUCCCGCUUGGCUCCACCACUUGCUUUACCUUGAUCAAACUCAGAAAUGAGCAUUCGCGUCGAAUGUUGAUUUCUGACUUUUGUCAGAUCGUUCUUUAAAAAUUCGGAUAUGUGAUAGAUAUAGACUGAACACCAGUUUCACUGCUGGUGGAUCAGGCUAAGGUAAAAUUUGUGAGUUCUGCUCGAAAGAGCAACGUACGAAUUUUCGGCGAAUGUCGUCUCCACAGUAUAACCAGAUUGCUUGGGGUUAUAUGGUCAAGUGAAGAAGCGCAUACGGUGGAUGCCUUGGCAGUCAAAGGCGAUGAAAGACGAG
rnacentral:tRNA from 1 species